CGCGUAGGGAUUUAUCGUUGGGUGGGGGAUAACCAUGGGAAACUGUGGCUAAUACCGCAUGACGCCUAUGGGCCAAAGGUUCUGAGAGGGACUGCCUGAUGAGGAGCCUGCGUCCGAUUAGUUAGUUGGUUGGGUAAUGGCUGACCAAGGCGAUGAUCGGUAGCUGGUCUGAGAGGAUGAUCAGCCACACUGGGACUGAGACACGGCCCAG
rnacentral:rRNA from 1 species